rnacentral:rRNA from 1 species
CAGCAGCCGCGGUAACACGUAGGUCCCGAGCGUUGUCCGGAUUUAUUGGGCGUAAAGGGAGCGCAGGCGGUUUAGUAAGUCUGAAGUUAAAGGCAUUGGCUCAACCAAUGUAUGCUUUGGAAACUGUUAGACUUGAGUGCAGAAGGGGAGAGUGGAAUUCCAUGUGUAGCGGUGAAAUGCGUAGAUAUAUGGAGGAACACCGGUGGCGAAAGCGGCUCUCUGGUCUGUCACUGACGCUGAGGCUCGAAAGCGUGGGUAGCGAACAGGAUUAGAUACCCGAGUAGUCCCUGUCUCUUAUACC